rnacentral:rRNA from 1 species
GAUGAACGCUAGCGGCAGGCCUAAUACAUGCAAGCUGAACGGCAAGAUUUGUAGCAAUACGAGUCCUAGAGUAGCGUAAGGGUGCGUAACACGUAUGCAAUCUGCCCGCAACAGGAGGAUAGCUUAGCGAAAGUUGAGAUAAGACUCCAUAAGAUCACGAGAGGGCAUCUGAUUGUGAUUAAACUACAAGGGGUUGCGGAUGAGCANGCGUCUGAUUAGUUAGUUGG